UCUCGUAUGUGUGGAAGCAGAAGUCCCUGCAGCCAGAAAAUGACUGAUGAAGCAAUCUCUGAAUGCAAGCACAACUAGGGUGGGGGAAAAAAGGCAAAGUCCUGCAUUUUAUUGCUGUAUAAAAUGCAUGUGGUGUCUCAACACCUCCCUGGGUCGUUUAUUGUUUCCUCUGAGUUCCUUAAUGUUUUUUUUUUUUUCUGCGUGGGAGAAUCAUUUAUAAAAGCAGCCUUGACAAUCUCUCCGGGGUACAGGAUACAGCGGCAUGUGUGCAGCUAUCUCUUGAUUUGGAUGCAGGAGCAUGAGCGGAAACAUGAGAUCAGCAUUUCGCCCUCAUUCAGCCGAAAGCGAUCUUCAUAUCUCAUCUGUGCAAACUGAGAGCAAGGCGGGCAGAUGAUAGGAUAGAAGAAGAGCCAUAAGGAUAAAUAGAGUAAAUGAGCAAGAAGGCAACAUUGCGAGAUGGAGACAGAUGCGAACAUGACACAGGCUGAAGUCAGAGUGUGACAGACAUGCUGAGGAGGAAACAGAGGAGAAAGGAGGAGGUGGGGAGAGAUACUGGAUGAGUCAAAACCCCUGAGCUCCAAUAAAUUCUCUGUGAAAGACACAGUGCUGAAAAGAUGGUUGGCAUGUGCCUCUCUGCCAAGACAUGCCUAAGACAAUGACAUAAUUAUCAUCAAACAAGCAAGGACACGCUGCGAGAGUCCCCGACUCAUGCUUGGCUCCUUUUAUUUAUUAUUAUUCACUCACUUAUUCAUCACUUCCCUUGCACUCUCAGUAUCACUUUGCACUGACCUCAAAGCCAAAGCUCUAUAGUUAGAGCUUAGAGAUAUUCCCGCUAAACAAUAUAGUAUUUCUACAAUGCCACUGUUAGUUAAUGCCAACAGUGAUAAGGAAUACUUCAACAUACAGUACAUUAAUAAAACUCUCCUUAAACUUAAAAAAAAAA